CUUGAGGAGUGGCUUCCGGAGCUAACGCGUUAAGUCGACCGCCUGGGGAGUACGGCCGCAAGUUUAAAACUCAAAUGAAUUGACGGGGGCCCGCACAAGCGUGGAGCAUGUGGUUUAAUUCGAUGCAACGGAAGAACCUUACCUACUCUUGACAUCCACGGAAUUCGGCAGAGAUGCCUUAGUGCCUUCGGGAACCGUGAGACAGGUGCUGCAUGCUGUCGUCAGCUCGUGUUGUGAAAUGUUGGGUUAAGUCCCGCAACGAGCGCAACCCUUAUCCUUUGUUGCCAGCGAGUCAUGUCGGGAACUCAAAGGAGACUGCCGGUGAUAAACCGGAGGAAGGUGGGGAUGACGUCAAGUCAUCAUGGCCCUUACGAGUAGGGCUACACACGUGCUACAAUGGCGCAUACAAAGAGAAGCGACCUCGCGAGAGCAAGCGGACCUCACAAAGUGCGUCGUAGUCCGGAUCGGAGUCUGCAACUCGACUCCGUGAAGUCGGAAUCGCUAGUAAUCGUGGAUCAGAAUGCCACGGUGAAUACGUUCCCGGGCCUUGUACACACCGCCCGUCACACCAUGGGAGUGGGUUGCAAAAGAAGUAGGUAGCUUAACCUUCGGGAGGGCGCUUACCACUUUGUGAUUCAUGACUGGGGUGAAGUC
rnacentral:rRNA from 1 species